UCCGGUAUGGUGUAACGGCUAACAUUACCGCCUCUCAUGUGUUUGGAGUGUUGCAUGUUUAGCGCGGUAGCCCUGGGUUCGACUCCCAGUACCGGAG